CCUACGGGGGGCAGCAGUGGGGAAUAUUGCACAAUGGGGGAAACCCUGAUGCAGCGACGCCGCGUGGGUGACGAAGUAUUUCGGUAUGUAAAGCCCUAUCAGCAGGGAAGAAGAUGACAGUACCUGACCAAGAAGCCCCGGCUAACUACGUGCCAGCAGCCGCGGUAAUACGUAGGGGGCAAGCGUUAUCCGGAUUUACUGGGUGUAAAGGGAGCGUAGGUGGCAUGGCAAGCCAGAAGUGAAAACCCGGGGCUUAACCCCGCGGAUUGCUUUUGGAACUGUCAGGCUGGAGUGCAGGAGGGGCAGGCGGAAUUCCUGGUGUAGCGGUGAAAUGCGUAGAUAUCAGGAGGAACACCGGUGGCGAAGGCGGCCUGCUGGACUGUAACUGACACUGAGGCUCGAAAGCGUGGGGAGCAAACAGGAUUAGAUACCCGUGUAGUC
rnacentral:rRNA from 1 species